rnacentral:SRP_RNA from 1 species
GCUGGGCAUGGUGACGCAAGCCUGUAAUCCCGGCUACUCAGGAGGCUGAGGCAGGAGAAUUGCUUGAACUUGGGAGACAGAGGUUGCAGUGAGCCAAGAUUGUGCCACUGCACUCCAGCCUGGGUGACAAAGCGAGACUCUGUCUCAA